GCUAGGAUAGCUCAGUUGGAAGAGCAUGAGACUCUCAAUCUCAGGGUUGUGGGUUCAAGUCCCAUGUGGGGCA